AGGCAACACCGCCAAAUAGUGCCACUUCCUGGGCCAAGCAUAUUCAAAGCAUGACACAUUUUAAGUUGAAAGCUGUGCAAGAACAGUGUAAUGUAAAAUACCUGCAAACAUUCCAGGAGAAGAUGACCCCAGGUAUAAAGAUGUUAGGUCAAAGAUGAAACACUGUUUUUACGCUGUUUUACUUUGUUUUACAACACUACUUUACUUUGUUUUACAACAAAGGAAGUAUGAAGAAACCUAAACGUCAAUGACUAAUUGAACCAGUGCAGUCGGUUAGGAUCCUACCAGGAAGUCUGAGGACCUUAGCUGUGACUCUUACCUAAACCAGGGAAGAAGAAAACUGAUACCUGUAGGUUGUGUUCCGACAUCGACAUAUGUGCCAUGGCAUGCAGUAUCCAUUCUCAAAGAAAUAAAAUGAGAGAGCCAUGAAAGCAGGAGCAGAAGCAAGAAGGUGACUGUACAUGCGGGGACAUGCUCUGGUGGCUCACUGAAGCUGGAUGAUGCGCAGAGAGAGGAGUAGACACUUUGUGUGGGGGAGAGACUGGUUGAUGUGCUUGAUGAAGAAAAAGGGAGCUAUGGCUAAUGCCUCCCCGACACUGCUCUUUCAAAGCAAACAUUGUCUGAGCCGAAAUCCACAGAAGGUGCUAACAAGAAAAAGUUUAACUGCAAUGAAAAUCUAUUUUUCAACUCUUUUCCUCUAAGAUGAAAGGUAAAUAAAAUCCUACAGGAGUGCUGGAUGGAGGAAGACUGUAGCUGAAGUGACAGGAAUUGUUCACCAGGAGUGAUGACAGGAUCUCCUGAGAAGCACAGGCAAUUCUGCAGCUGACCUGGCUUGUUUUACAUUUUCUCUUAAGUAGGCUAGGCAGGGUUCCUGUAACUUCUACCCUUACCCUCUUCAGAGAGCAAGAGUUCUUCUUGAUUUGGGAUCCAUGUGCUUGUUCUAGCUUAACUAAUAUAUUACAACAAUUUCAUAAAAACUGAUACUGCCUGUGAGUUUUUCUGUACUGUAGAGGAAGUCUCUAAGUUGAUGUAUAUUCUUAAGUGUUUAGAUCACUGGAAAGAGAGACACAUUGGACACGCAAACUUUAUAUGCCCCAGUACAGGGGAACGC